GAUGAACGCUGACCGAAUGCUUAACACAUGCAAGUCCACUUGAAUUUGGGUUUUUAACUUAGGUUUGGGUGGCGGACGGGUGAGUAACGCGUAAAGAACUUGCCUCACAGCUAGGGACAACAUUUGGAAACGAAUGCUAAUACCUAAUAUUAUGAUAAUAGGGCAUCCUAUAAUUAUGAAAGCUAUAAGCGCUGUGAGAGAGCUUUGCGUCCCAUUAGCUAGUUGGAGAGGUAACGGCUCACCAAGGCGAUGAUGGGUAGCCGGCCUGAGAGGGUGAUCGGCCACAAGGGGACUGAGACACGGCCCUUACUCCUACGGGAGGCAGCAGUGGGGAAUAUUGGACAAUGGACCAAGAGUCUGAUCCAGCAAUUCUGUGUGCACGAUGAAGUUUUUCGGAAUGUAAAGUGCUUUCAGUUGGGAAGAAAGAAAUGACGGUACCAACAGAAGAAGCGACGGCUAAAUACGUG
rnacentral:rRNA from 1 species